rnacentral:lncRNA from 1 species
GCCCCUAAUGUUUCCUAUUUCCCCCUUAUUAAGACUGACUCAUUAAAUUGUUUUAAGAGUUAUUAACCUCUACAUCAUCGACUCUGGAUGACAAUUGUUCUCAAUUGCAAUCAUACUUAAUGUUCUUAUUUUUGUUUUUGUCUUGAUGACACCUUAAUUAAUUUUUUUCAAAUACAAAGAGCUAUAUAAGGCUUUAUCAUGCCUUUCAUAAACUUGUGUUAAAGAGUAAUUUAGUCACGUUUUUCAUUUUCUAUUUUUGGUAUCACAUUUGAAGAGUCUUUUUCUUUCUUUUUUUGUAAUUGCAUUUUAUCUUUCUGAUUUCUUAUUUAUGAUACAACAUUCCUACAUAUCUUGAAUCCCUUUCCAUUUGAGAAAAAUACAUUGAGCAAUUCUGACUGAGACAAAUCACUUUUCAUAGUUGAUACUUUAUGAUUU